UAAGAUGUAGCAUAAUUAAUGUAUUCCACUUACACUGAAAAGAUGCUUCAUACCCGAGCCAUCUUAA
rnacentral:tRNA from 1 species